rnacentral:lncRNA from 1 species
CCUGAAGUUUCCUGCACCUGUAAUAAGAAAUCAGAGCUCCUUACAUUCAUCUCACAGAAAAACGUGGUCAACCCGGGAGCCUGAUGCAGGAUAGAUAUUCUGUUACUGCAGCACCAAUGGAUGAGGAUAGGGAAUGACUGAGCCAUAAGAUGAAAGGAUUCUGGGCUUUACAGAAAGCAUGGUGCUGGCAUCUGCUCAGCUUUUUGGGAGGCCUUAGGAAGCUUCCAAUCAUGGUGGAAGGCAAAGGGUGAGCAGGUGUCUCACAUGGUGAGAGCAGGAGCAAGCUUUGAAGAUGUGCCACACACUGCCAACCAACCAGAUCUUGCAAGUACCCACUCACUAUCUCAAGGACAGCCACAAGCCAAGAAGGACCCAUCUCCAUGAUCCAAACAUCUCCCACCGUGUCCUACCUCCAACACUGGAAACUACAAUUCAGCACAAGAUUUGGAGGAAACAACAUCCAAACUAUAUUACUCUGCCCCUGGCUCCUCAAAUCUCAUGUCCUUCUCACACUGCAAAAUACAAUCAUGCCUUCU